rnacentral:tRNA from 1 species
GGAGAGGUGGCUGAGUGGUCGAAAGCGGCAGAUUGCUAAUCUGUUAAGGUGUCACAACCUUCCAGGGUUCAAAUCCCUGUCUCUCCG